CGCAUAGAAAAAUUCCAUUUGACAUAUAGUCCAAACAGUAAAUUUCUCCUAUCUGAAAAGGUUAGGUUUUCUCAAACCGUAGCUUUAUUGUUGAACAAUGUGAAACCUGGAGCUGUUGACUACAAACGACAGUUUGGUCAAACCAUGACAGACAGUGACACUAUAUUCUACCCAACGAACAUUUGAGCUGUAUGAGAGUUUAACAAACUUAUCUUAAGCAAACUUCAGCUUAAGAAACUGUUGUUCAGCUACUCUUGUUUCUUGGGUAGUCUCCAAACAUUGUUCAACUAUGUGGCGAUGAAAACUUGCGUAAUAUUGUAGCAAUAUGAGAUCACCUCAUAUCAAACUGUUAGCCUUCACAGUUGCGCAACACACGUACACCACUGCAUUUUACUAUAAAUCACAUUUGUUCAACAGUUUGGUAAAUAGUAUAGCACGCUUUUAUAUUUGUGAGAAAAAAAUUCCAGCUUGUUGUUAUUGCAUUUUCGCGAAACACAUCAAAAGCUUCCAUCUACGGUACGAAAAGUAAGCAUCAACACACUUUGAACUCAGAUAAAUUAAAAAUUCAGCGCAUUAGAAUGAUUCAAUGCAUUUUCAGAUUUUUCUGCACUUUUGCAUCGAUGGUCCCUCAGUUCCAUACUUUGAUGCUCGAUACGAGCUUUUUACGCUAUGAUGAAGGGUGAUUCAAUUUUGACAAUUCUUGCCGACAGCCCUUGCAGCAUCAGAGGUCAUCAGAGUAGCCAAAAAUUUCAGUUCAACUCCACUAGAAUGUCAAAAAUUUUCACUGUUGAUGUUUUCAAGUUUUUCCUUCAGAUUUUUUGUUUAAAUUUAAUAUUUUACAGCAUUUCCUACAGUUUUUGGUACAUGAUAGCCGCCAUUAUUUGUAAUGACGAAACCAAAGGAAUGGAAAAUGCAGAGGACGUCGAAAAAAACGAAUGAUUUUGUAUCAAUGGUCACAACUUUGUCAUCAGCAAUCUCAACUUACUCAGCAACAAACACAUUCUGUACACUUGGCUCUGGCUUGGUGACCAUUUGAAAUUCUUGAUAGAUUUUUCAUUCCUGGUAUCGUUCUCUCUAUCCUUCCGAAUCAGACACGAAUGCCACAUAAGGCGCUGUCCAUAAACUACGCAGACUCAUUUUGAGCAAUCUCAGACCCCCCUCCCCCUCCGUAGACUUUUGUUCAUACAAAAUUUUCGGAAUUUGCAUGGAGCGUAGACUUUGGCCAGACCCCUCCGUCCCCCCCUAAGAGUCUACGUAAUUUAUGGGCAGGCCCUAAGUGGUAAAGUGUUAUUAAUAAUUGAUAAUUCCGAAUCAGUAUUCCACAUGAGAUGCCAGUACACUAUAGUUAUUUGUAGUGAAGUCCUACAACAUUGGAACGACUUUUUCUCUAGUUCUAAUUACAUUGAUGGGAUUUAGGUUGUUGAAAAUUAAAAUUCUCUAACAUAGCCACUCUGUCCGAGUGACGAAUUUGAAACAAGAUUUCCAAAAUAAUUGUGUAUCUCAUAUAUAAACGUUUCCCUAAUAAAUAAUUAAUUACCCUUUCCCGCAACUUCGUUUUUCCAGAAGGUAAUUGACCAAUGCAUUUAACCUAUUUUGGAUCCUUCCUAGUUCUGUGCACCCGAUAUUAAAUAAAAGAACGAACGAGUUUCGCACUCCAAGAUUUGUGAAUAACUACAACGGAUUUUUAUACGUUUAAUGAAGAGAAUGUUAAAUCUGCCGUCGUGUGGGUACACUGAAAAAAAUAUCAUAGUAAUCGGAACUAUCCAUCCAUUUUUAUUUUUACCACGCCACAUUUUAGUUACCAUAACUAUAAAUAUUGUAUCAAACACCAGCAUCUGGGGAUGACUACUAUGCAUUUGUCAACCUACUACAUAGUCACAUUCACUAUUUGUACCGCUCAAGUCAACUAUGUUUGUGAUGCAAAUUUUACUAUAUAAUUGGACAGCACAACUAUUUUCAUGGUAAACAUGAACAGGCAACAUUCUUGGUUAUGAAAAUAUUUUUAUAAGUUCACACGGCCAAUCGUGUUAGCCUAUAGGCAAAUACCCAUUGUCAAAAUCUUAAGGUAACAGCAAAUAACGUAUCCAUAUUUUUUGGCAAUGUGCAUAAUUUUGGAUUCAAUUUGUUGUAAAGUCUGCACAAUAAGGUAAGUGUGGUCAUUCAGAAACAAUUUCAAUUAAAUUAAAUAACGCUAACCGAUUCCGUUUAUCAGGCUCUCCAAUGACCUGUGUUCACAGAUCCAGCCGAUGAAAGACGGUUCCUGAAUCAAUCCAUUUUAUUUCCCAGCAGGACAAUAAUCGCGUGUCACCGGAAUCGAUCCACCUGUGUCUUGGACGAACAGAAUUUUAUUGGAUGUAAAGAAGUACUAAUAUAACUUGUGAGCAUUUCGUAGCAUAUUAUGCCCAUGAUAGAGGCCUAAGAAAACUUCGGGAAAACAAGAGGAAAUGGCGCCCACAACUGUGGAAGACGACUGAAGGGGGAAAUACGGAUUAGGAGAUGGAUGAAGUGAGGAAGUAGUGACACUCAGUAGGCCACUUCCAGCACCGAUGAGCAAGGCACUAGGAUUCCGGAUGUCUAACGUUCCUUCACCGGUUAUUCUGCUCUCAAUCACAUUCCUGAAGUUCCUCAAUCAUAAGUUCCUAGUCAAGGCUGCCGAAAGUCCAGGAAACAUCACCUUAUCACAGCUGAGCAUCAUCGCGAAACUCCAGAGUCUGGAAAUGACUUGAGCACCGGGUUCAUAGUUCCUCGUUCUACCAAUGCCUCACCAGGUAUUCAAAAGAAGAUGUUCAUUCAACCAGAUGUCCAAAUGGUUUUGUUUUUUUUUUCUUUUCUUUUAAUUUGAUUAAAUGCAAUGAAACCUAAAAUAAAAUCAAUUAAAGAUCGAUGAAAAUGUAUUUUUUGUGAUUUUUUUAGAAUGUAAACAAAAAGGGGGCACUGCACGUCGAACCAUGCGCAUGGUAAUCUAAACCAUAUAACGAUGGUUAUGUGAACUAUGCUGCUUUUCACACACAUGGUAAAAUGAACCAUGAAAACAGAUUCCAAGUUACCAUAAAAUGUAAACAUAAAGCGACAUGGUAAAUUUAACCCCGCACAUGGUAAUUUCAAGAAGGAAUCAUGGUCUACCAAAAUCAAGUAGUAAAAGUGUUUUAAUUUGACCCUCGAUCCGGUCAUAAUUACUAUGUCCUUUUUUUCAGUGUAGAUGAUGUUGCGGCCAUUGGAACAAAAUCAUUUGGUUCUUCGACGUCAACUUAUUCCUUUAUCUACUUGUUCCAUUUAAUUCGGUAUUGCCAAUAUAAUGAUGGCGACAACCAUGAACCUAAAAUUGAAAAAAAAAUGGUUUUAUUUAAAUUGUACAAAAAAAAAGUACUCAUGGAAAAACUUGCAAACAACAACGGUAAAAAUUUUUGACAUUUUGAAAAAGUUGAACUGAAAUUUUUGUUUGAAUGUUUGGCUACUGUGAUGAUCUCUGGUGUUAAAUAUGGACCAAACAGGUCUGUGCCAUAAAGAGAGAGAAAAAAAAAUCUCUGGUGCUGCAAGGGCUGUCGGCAAGAAUUGUCAAAAUUGAAUCCAAGGAUGUUUUCACUCAGUUCAAAACCCGAUCAGUCACUCUUUCCCCACUCAAUCAACACCCACAGCAAAGGGCCUGGCAUCACCUAUACGUUUGAAAACUGGCACAGUAACUCAAAAUCUGAAUGAAUACUGAGUGAUCUUGCACUGCUGUCAUUUAAACAAGUGUUCAUCAUCGCAUGUAUUUGUAAUGAACUGAUAGAAUCGUUUCUGCCAAUCGGAUGUUCAUUUUCACUUUCCGAUCCGAUUGCGCCUUUCACGUUUUGUGUCUUGAUCGAAUCAAUUUCUAUCGCAGUCUGAUAAUUUUCGGAAGCUCAGUUUGCAGCUAUUUGUCGACCGAUUUUCAAAAUAAAAACAUUAAUCAACUGGAAAUACACACUGUAUCUCAUAAUUGAUCAGACAGGCGCCGAUUUUUGAUCAAAAUUGUCAACUAUGGUUUGCUUUGAUGAAUUCAACUCAAAUUUUGACACAGUGCAGUACCGUGUAACGAAUAUGCUGAAGGAACAAAAUGUUUUAUUUUUUUAGCGGUACCUCUUAGUUUUGCAUGAAGUUCUUAUUGCAGUAAGUCAUUUGAACAGUAACCGACAAAUCGUUUCACUUAUGUUUGCUUCUAGUCAUCUUAAAACGAUUUCAGUCAGCCAGAGCAACCAUCUAACAGGAAGCGAUUCCUUGCCAUUUGAAAAAAAAAAUGUCACUUAAAUGACUAGCUGAGCACGGAGCACAAACAUUCCGCCACACUGAAAAAUUAUCGGAAGUCGGGUCAAUUUUUAACGAAUGCUGGGCCACUGCUGGACCCACAUCGGAUAACGGUUGGGUCUAUGUUGAGUUUGACGUCAUCAAUGAUGACGAAACCAGAACAUAUGCUUGCUAGCUGGGGCAAUUAAAUUAUAAGGUAUGUGCCGGUCGUCAGUCGUCGGAGAACCCUGACUGCUGCUUGGGUUGGUGUAAAUUUAAUGAUCAGAGGCCAGUCAAUUAUCCUGAUUGUAAAUGGAAAACGCUUGAUUCGUUCGUGUGGAAAAGUGUACUAAUUUAUGAUUUAGUAUUUGGCUUUUGGGAUGCAUUCGGGAUUCGAGUGGUUUCCAGGGACUUUUGGGGACUUCCCCUGCUGAUAUAUUAGAGGACAAUUAGAGGACAAAUGGUUGACUUGUAUGAACAUGCAGUGAAAGUCUCUUAUUUAAACGAACAUUUGCUUUGGGUUGGGUGCAACAGGAAGAAACGUGAAAACAUGCCUGUCGAUUGCUGCCUAAUGCUACAUCAACAAGAACUUUUGGAAGAAACUGAUUCGAUCAAAAUGAACGCACUCAGCAAUCUUCUGCGAAAAUUAUCGCCAAGUGAUUGAGCACCGCAAUGUUUACAACCGACUUCGAUCAAUGCGUGAGAGAAUCACGGCCUUGCUGCCCGACUGUCCAUUCGGUUGGUGCGGCUGAAUGAACUUAGCCAUUAAACGUGUAAACUUCUGGAGCAACAUUUGAAAAGGGCCCAAGAGGUCUUGUGUCUUUUUUCUAAAACGCUCCGUGGGGCCUAACAGCAGCCCGCCCACGCAAAUGAAAACCGUUAUCCCAAUGAUCGUUGUUUGCUCUAUCUGUUAACGGUCUUAGUUUGUGUGAAUAAGCUGAUGGGGGCUUGGGAGCGACGUGUGAAGUCAUUGUUUACCACUGCUUGUAUGCCCUUUUCAAAUGUUGCUCCAGACUUGUUCAUUUCCCGAGUGGCAGUGUAUGUAGGCUGUACCAACACACCGAUCGAAGCGGUUGUUUCAAACAGAGAGAAAAUAUCAGUAUCUCUCACUGAUUCUCUCGGAACUCAACAACACUGAUUGAAUCACCCCUCAUCAUAGCGUAAAAAGCUGGUAUCGCGUGUUUAUUAGUGUCUCAUUUCCGAAAUCUAAAUAGGCCCAUAUUGAAUGUUACUCGAGUUCCGCGCGAACAUGAGAGCUGCGGUGCAAAAUCCGCGAGGUAAAAUCAACAACAACGUGGAAAAUUGGUGAAAUACGCUCCCGGGAAGGCUUCUUUCACUGCGGCCGCAGUGCAGACCGGAGAAAACCAACAUUCGAGCCAUGUGCAGGAACAGGCGGAACGAAAUAGCUAGUUUUUGGAGAUCGGAUGUACCGACUACGUUGGCCAAACAGCUUCUGGAGAUAGAAAGUACAUCAUUUGGUUGAUUUACGGAUGAGUUUUAUCGGACCGUAGGCGGGACAUCACCGACGAAGGAAUCGAUCCGGAAGCAAAACGAUACGGCGGAUCAAGCGGAGGAUGGCAUGAAAGCAAGGAUCAAAGCCGGAAACCGAUAAGGGAUCGAUCAGCCUAGCUCAGUGGCUCGGGAGAUUUUUAUUGACGCAGCUCGGGAAGCUGAUAAACGCGGUGACAGAAGCGACAACACAAUUGGAACAGGAACCAUUGAGCAAGAUUCAGCGCAAUUCAAAUGUGAAAAUUCGAAUAAUAUUUAUAAUUGCCGCUUUAGUUUGAUAUUGUGUUAACUUACAUUUAAACAAACAACUUCUUAGGUAAAUAAAAAUGUGUAAUUUUCAAA